GACGAACGCUGGCGGCGUGCUUAACACAUGCAAGUCGAACGGAAAGGCCCUGCUUUUGUGGGGUGCUCGAGUGGCGAACGGGUGAGUAACACGUGAGUAACCUGCCCUUGACUUUGGGAUAACUUCAGGAAACUGGGGCUAAUACCGGAUAGGAGCUCCUGCUGCAUGGUGGGGGUUGGAAAGUUUCGGCGGUUGGGGAUGGACUCGCGGCUUAUCAGCUUGUUGGUGGGGUAGUGGCUUACCAAGGCUUUGACGGGUAGCCGGCCUGAGAGGGUGACCGGCCACAUUGGGACUGAGAUACGGGCCAGACUGCUACGGGAGGCAGCAGUGGGGAAUAUUGCACGAUGGGCGGAAGCCUGAUGCAGCAACGCCGCGUGCGGGAUGACGGCCUUCGGGUUGUAAACCGCUUUCGCCUGUGACGAAGCGUGAGUGACGGUAAUGGGUAAAGAAGCACCGGCUAACUACGUG
rnacentral:rRNA from 1 species